GGCCUGGCCGGGCGGUCCGCUUAACAGCGUGUACUGUCUGGCUGGGUCUUACCUCUUGGUGAGCUGGCGUGCCCUUUACUGGUGUGCGUCGGGGAACCAGGACUUUUACCUUGAGAAAAUUAGAGUGUUCAAAGCAGGCAAAGCCUGAAUACAUUAGCAUGGAAUAAUAAAAUAGGACGUGUGGUUCUAUUUUGUUGGUUUCUAGAAUCGCCGUA
rnacentral:rRNA from 1 species